GACGAACGCUGGCGGCGUGCUUAACACAUGCAAGUCGAGCGGUAAGGCCCUUUCGGGGGUACACGAGCGGCGAACGGGUGAGUAACACGUGGGUGACCUGCCCUCAGCUCUGGGAUAAGCCUGGGAAACCGGGUCUAAUACUGGAUAUGACUCCAUGACGCAUGUUGUGGGGUGGAAAGCCUUGUGCGGCUGAGGAUGGGCCCGCGGCCUAUCAGCUUGUUGGUGGGGUGANGGCCUACCAAGGCGACGACGGGUAGCCGGCCUGAGAGGGCGACCGGCCACACUGGGACUGAGACACGGGCCCAGACUCCUACGGGAGGCAGCAGUGGGGAAUCUUGCGCAAUGGGCGAAAGCCUGACGCAGCGACGCCGCGUGAGGGAUGACGGCCUGGUU
rnacentral:rRNA from 1 species